UACGGGGGGGGUAAGCGUUGUUCGGAAUUACUGGGCGUAAAGGGCUCGUAGGCGGCCAACUAAGUCAUACGUGAAAUCCCUCAGCUUAACUGGGGAACUGCGUGUGAUACUGGAUGGCUUGGAUUUGGGAGAGGGAUGCGGAAUUCCAGGUGUAGCGGUGAAAUGCGUAGAUAUCUGGAGGAACACCGGUGGCGAAGGCGGCAUCCUCGACCAAUAUUGACGCUGAGGAGCGAAAGCCAGGGGAGCAAACGGG
rnacentral:rRNA from 1 species